AUACGUAGGGAGCAAGCGUUGUCCGGAAUUACUGGGCGUAAAGGGUGCGUAGGUGGCUGAGUAAGUCAGAUGUGAAAGACCGGGGCUUAACCCCGGGGCUGCAUUUGAAACUGUUUGGCUUGAGUACAGGAGAGGGAAGUGGAAUUCCUAGUGUAGCGGUGAAAUGCGUAGAUAUUAGGAGGAACACCAGUGGCGAAGGCGACUUUCUGGACUGUAACUGACACUGAAGCACGAAAGCGUGGGGAGCAAACAGGAUUAGAUACCCUGGUAGUCCACGCCGUAAACGAUGGAUACUAGGUGUGGGGCCCGAUAGGGUUCCGUGCCGAAGCAAACGCAUUAAGUAUCCCGCCUGGGGAGUACGAUCGCAAGGUUGAA
rnacentral:rRNA from 1 species